AGUGAACGCUGGCGGUAGGCCUAACACAUGCAAGUCGAACGGCAGCACAGUAAGAGCUUGCUCUUACGGGUGGCGAGUGGCGGACGGGUGAGGAAUACAUCGGAAUCUACUUUUUCGUGGGGGAUAACGUAGGGAAACUUACGCUAAUACCGCAUACGACCUACAGGUGAAAGCAGGGGAUCUUCGGACCUUGCGCGAUUGAAUGAGCCGAUGUCGGAUUAGCUAGUUGGCGGGGUAAAGGCCCACCAAGGCGACGAUCCGUAGCUGGUCUGAGAGGAUGGUCAGCCACACUGGAACUGAGACACGGUCCAGACUCCUACGGGAGGCAGCAGUGGGGAAUAUUAGACAAUGGGCGCAAGCCUGAUCCAGCCAUACCGCGUGGGUGAAGAAGGCCUUCGGGUUGUAAAGCCCUUUUGUUGGGAAAGAAAAGCAGCAGGUUAAUACCCCGCUGUUCUGACGGUACCCAAAGAAUAAGCACCGGCUAACUUCGUG
rnacentral:rRNA from 1 species